UGCAGUGAGGAAUAUUGGUCAAUGGCCUAACGGCUGAACCAGCAACUUGGAGGAAUGUAUAGGGAAAGCUGGUAAAAAGGUGAUUACCUAGUUAUAUGAAAUCCUAAGUAAUAUAAUAUUAACAAAGUUAAAUAAAGUUCUAAGUAAGUAUUGAUUAUGACAGUAUUUGCUUAUGUCUUGACCAAGUCACGUGCCAGCAGUCGCGGUAAUACGUGGAAGAUUAGUGUUAUUCAUAUUUAAAAGGUUUAAAGGGUACCUAGACGGUUAAUUAAACACAUACAUGUAUUAAUUAACUAGAGUUUAAUGUAAGAAAGAUAGAGUACGGUGAGUGUAGAGAUAUAAUUUUAUGAUACCACUUAGGAACUGGUAAGGCGAAGGCAACUUUCUAUGUAAAAACUGACGUUGAAGGACGAAGG
rnacentral:rRNA from 1 species